GGUGUUUGGCACCUCGAUGUCGGCUCAUCACAUCCUGGGGCUGAAGUAGGUCCCAAGGGUAUGGCUGUUCGCCAUUUAAAGUGGUACGCGAGCUGGGUUUAGAACGUCGUGAGACAGUUCGGUCCCUAUCUGCCGUGGGCGCUGGAGAACUGAGGGGGGCUGCUCCUAGUACGAGAGGACCGGAGUGGACGCAUCACUGGUGUUCGGGUUGUCAUGCCAAUGGCACUGCCCGGUAGCUAAAUGCGGAAGAGAUAAGUGCUGAAAGCAUCUAAGCACGAAACUUGCCCCGAGAUGAGUUCUCCCUGACCCUUUAAGGGUCCUGAAGGAACGUUGAAGACGACGACGUUGAUAGGCCGGGUGUGUAAGCGCAGCGAUGCGUUGAGCUAACCGGUACUAAUGAACCGUGAGGCUUAACCUUACAACGCCGAAGGUGUUU
rnacentral:rRNA from 1 species